GGAGGGUUGGCUGAGCGGGUUAAAGCAACAGUCUUGAAAACUGUCGGACCUCCGGGUCCCGUGGGUUCGAAUCCCACACCCUCCUCCA
rnacentral:tRNA from 1 species